UAAUCUAGAGAGAUACACAUGAAAACAAUAAAAUGAGAAUAUGGUUCCUGGUGUAUCAAGGCGUGAAGGUGUCGUCAUAACACAGAGAAAGAAGCACUUCACUAUGGAGCUGUCACGGUACCUAGAGAGCGUGGGAAACUCAGAUGGCUGCAAGGGCCAGGCAUACAACAAACUCCCAUGUUGGGGAGUACAAGGAACAGCCCUGAUGAAAUUUGAUUGAAUAAAUGAAUAGAAGUGGACCUAGUGUUCUAGGGUCUAGGAACAUUAUAUGUAAGAAUGA
rnacentral:lncRNA from 1 species